rnacentral:rRNA from 1 species
UACGUAGGGCGCAAGCGUUGUCCGGAAUUAUUGGGCGUAAAGAGCUCGUAGGUGGUCUGUUGCGUCUGCUGUGAAAACCUAAGGCUUAACCUUGGGCCUGCAGUGGAUACGGGCAGACUAGAGGUAGGUAGGGGAGAAUGGAAUUCCCGGUGUAGCGGUGAAAUGCGCAGAUAUCGGGAGGAACACCGGUGGCGAAGGCGGUUCUCUGGGCCUGACCUGACGCUGAGGAGCGAAAGCGUGGGGAGCGAACAGG